rnacentral:rRNA from 1 species
GACGAACGCUGGCGGCGUGCCUAAUACAUGCAAGUCUAACGCUUCUUUCCUCCCGAGUGCUUGCACUCAAUUGGAAAGAGGAGUGGCGGACGGGUGAGUAACACGUGGGUAACCUACCCAUCAGAGGGGGAUGACACUUGGAAACAGGUGCUAAUACCGCAUAACAGUUUAUGCCGCAUGGCAUAAGAGUGAAGGGCGCUUUCGGGUGUCGCUGAUGGAUGGACCCGCGGUGCAUUAGCUAGUUGGUGAGGUAACGGCUCACCAAGGCCACGAUGCAUAGCCGACCUGAGAGGGUGAUCGGCCACACUGGGACUGAGACACGGCCCAGACUCCUACGGGAGGCAGCAGUAGGGAAUCUUCGGCAAAGGACGAAAGUCUGACCGAGCAACGCCGCGUGAGUGAAGAAGGUUUUCGGAUCGUAAAACUCUGUUGUUAGAGAAGAACAAGGACGUUAGUAACUGAACGUCCCCUGACGGUAUCUAACCAGAAAGCCACGGCUAACUACGUG